rnacentral:rRNA from 1 species
UACGUAGGGGGCAAGCGUUAUCCGGAUUUACUGGGUGUAAAGGGAGCGUAGACGGCUGUGCAAGUCUGAAGUGAAAGCCCGUGGCUCAACCGCGGAACUGCUUUGGAAACUGUAUAGCUUGAGUACUGGAGAGGCAGGCGGAACUCCUAGUGUAGCGGUGAAAUGCGUAGAUAUUAGGAGGAACACCAGUGGCGAAGGCGGCCUGCUGGACAGAAACUGACGUUGUGGCUCGAAAGCGUGGGGAGCAAACAGG